rnacentral:rRNA from 1 species
AAAUUGAAGAGUUUGAUCAUGGCUCAGAUUGAACGCUGGCGGCAGGCCUAACACAUGCAAGUCGAACGGUAACAGGAAACAGCUUGCUGAUUCGCUGACGAGUGGCGGACGGGUGAGUAAUGUCUGGGAAACUGCCUGAUGGAGGGGGAUAACUACUGGAAACGGUAGCUAAUACCGCAUAAUGUCGCAAGACCAAAGAGGGGGACCUUCGGGCCUCUUGCCAUCGGAUGUGCCCAGAUGGGAUUAGCUAGUAGGUGGGGUA